rnacentral:rRNA from 1 species
UACGGAGGGAGCUAGCGUUGUUCGGAAAUACUGGGCGUAAAGCGCACGUAGGCGGCGCAGCAAGUCAGGGGUGAAAUCCCGGGGCUCAACCCCGGAACUGCCCUUGAAACUGCAGUGCUAGAAUCUUGGAGAGGCGAGUGGAAUUCCGAGUGGUAGAGGUGAAAUUCGUAGAUAUUCGGAAGAACACCAGUGGCGAAGGCGACUCGCUGGACAAGUAUUGACGCUGAGGUGCGAAAGCGUGGGGAGCAAACAGGG